GGCACUGUAGCUUAGUGGUUAAAGCACCUGUCUUGUAAACAGGAGAUCCUGAGUUCAAUCCCUAGCAGUGCCU